AGGACGAACGCUGGCGGCGUGCUUAACACAUGCAAGUCGAGCGGAAAGGCCACUUCGGUGGUACUCGAGCGGCGAACGGGUGAGUAACACGUGAGUAAUCUGCCCUCCACUUUGGGAUAGCCACCGGAAACGGUGAUUAAUACCGGAUAUGACCUCGCAUCGCAUGGUGUGUGGUGGAAAGUUUUUCGGUGGGGGAUGUGCUCGCGGCCUAUCAGCUUGAUGGUGGGGUAAUGGCCUACCAUGGCUUCGGACGGGUAGCCGGCCUGAGAGGGUGACCGGCCACGACUGGGACUGAGACACGGCCCAGACUCCUACGGGAGGCAGCAGUGGGAAUAUGGACAAUGGGCGAAGCCUGACUCCAGCAACGCCGCGUGAGGAUCGACGGCCUUCGGGUUGUAAACCUCUUUCAGCACAGACGAAGCGAAAGUGACGGUAUGUGACAAGGAAGAAGCGAACCGGCCAACUACGUGCAACGCCAGGCCCGACGGUAAUCGU
rnacentral:rRNA from 1 species